GGGAUUUUGGGCGUAAGGGCUCGCAGGCGGUUUCUUAAGUCUGAUGUGAAAGCCCCCGCCCUUAAAGGGGAGGGUCAUUGGAAACUGGGAAACUUGAGUGCCCUUGAGGAGAGUGGAAUUCCACGUGUAGCGGUGAAAUGCGUAGAGAUGUGGAGGAACACCAGUGGCGAAGGCGACUCUCUGGUCUGUAACUGACGCUGAGGAGCGAAAGCGUGGGGAGCGAACAGGAUUAGAUACCCUGGUAGUCCACGCCGUAAACGAUGAGUGCUAAGUGUUAGGGGGUUUCCGCCCCUUAGUGCUGCAGCUAACGCAUUAAGCACUCCGCCUGGGGAGUACGGUCGCAAGACUGAAACUCAAAGGAAUUGACGGGGGCCCGCACAAGCGGUGGAGCAUGUGGUUUAAUUCGAAGCAACUCGAAGAACCUUACCAGGUCUUGACAUCCUCUGACAACCCUAGAGAUAGGGCUUUCCCUUCGGGGACAGAGUGACAGGUGGUGCAUGGUUGUCGUCAGCUCGUGUCGUGAGAUGUUGGGUUAAGUCCCGCAACGAGCGCAACCCUUGAUCUUAGUUGCCAGCAUUCAGUUGGGCACUCUAAGGUGACUGCCGGUGACAAACCGGAGGAAGGUGGGGAUGACGUCAAAUCAUCAUGCCCCUUAUGACCUGGGCUACACACGUGCUACAAUGGACAGAACAAAGGGCUGCAAGACCGCAAGGUUUAGCCAAUCCCAUAAAUCUGUUCUCAGUUCGGAUCGCAGUCUGCAACUCGACUGCGUGAAGGUGGGAUCGCUAGUAAUCGCGGGAUCAGCAUGCCG
rnacentral:rRNA from 1 species